GAUGAACGCUGGCGGCGUGCCUAAUACAUGCAAGUCGAGCGAAGCGGGGACGGGUGAGUAACACGUGGAUAACCUCCUAUAAGACUGGGAUAACUUCGGGAAACCGGAGCUAAACCGGAUACUUAUCGAUGGAUCCGCACUGCAUUAGCUAGUUGGUCAGGUAACGGCUUACCAAGGCAACGAUGCAUAGCCGACCUGAGAGGGUGAGCGGCCAGACAGAAACUGAGAAACGGUCCAGACUCCUACGGGAGGCAGCAGUAGGGAAUCUUCCACAAUGGGCGAAAGCCUGACGGAGCAACGCCGCGUGAGUGAAGAAGGACUUCGGAUCGUAAAACACUGUUAUUAGGGAAGCGGUACCUAAUCAGAAGGCCACGGCUAACUGCGUGCCAGCAGCCGCGGUAAUUA
rnacentral:rRNA from 1 species